rnacentral:rRNA from 1 species
AUGCAUCGCUGUCGCCACCCUACCAAGCUUACUCCGGUCUGCCUCUCGUCGUUCGAGCAAAAGUGGUGCCAGGGCCGUCAUCGGGUAUCUAAGGCGAAGGAGCAACAGGCACCACCACGGAUGAGCCGGCUGCGCGGUUCUAGAUGCUCCAUCGAGAAAAGUCGUCGGCGGGGAGCUGCUUCGCCUGCCGUCUCAUGCCCUGGCCCUGGCAUCCUACACGACGGCGGGUCGACCACGACGCUAUACAACAUCGCCUGCUGGGGCGUGCCACCGCCGCAUGGGCCUCCGCGCGAGCCGCCCAUACCCCACGCGCCCCCGCUCCUCCCACACCCGUGCGCUACCUACAGCCCGAGGGAACAAGCGCCGCCCACGCGCCGGUGGCCAUGCCAACGGGCUUCUAGCCUCGCACGCUGCCUGCCGGUUCAUCUCCUUUCCUUACCUUGA